UUUAAACUGCUAGAAAGGAAGAGCCGAAUAUUUGGCUGGAGUGAUUUUUAGACAUUUCUCUACCUUAGGGCACCAGAGAGGUUCACUUGCCCAGGGUUCCAUAGCUGGUUGGUGCCAGAGUCCGAACGAGAAACCAGGUCUUCUCAGCUCCUGUCACCCACAGUUUUGCAGACACUGAAUUUAUGAGGUGGAUUCCAUUCAAGCAUGCACAUAACUAGCAGACACUUCUCCUAAUCCUCCUCAAUUCCCCUUUGCAUUGCUCAGAUACCACAAUCCUUUGCAGGUUAAAUCCCUUCACCUUGUGAACUCAUUAGGCAGGGCAAUGUAUAUGAAUCCCUGAGUCCUUAAGAACGUCCUUAGGCUGUGUUAGAAAUGCAGUUGCCAUAGGAGUAACCGGCCCCUGCUGUCAUUUGGAUGUUCUCUCUUCCCCAAAAUCCAGCACCACCUUGGUUAAGCACCCACCAUGUGCCUGCCCACCUGGCUCCUUAGGCAAUGUUACAAUUAACCAGGUUGGUUUUGAUGAGGGUCUAGGGCAAAAUUUGAACCACCACAACAGCCAAUGUGCACAUCCAUGCAGAGGGUUCAGAGAUGGCCUCGGCCAAGGCUGCCAGGCUUCAGCUCUGGAAGGAGCCCUGGGAAGUGGGAGAUCUUUGUAUAAAAAUUGGAACCCAAACUAUAAUUCCCAUUAGGGAUAUAUAUGCUCACAUCACUCCUGAUUCAAAGCUCAGAAGUGGCCUCUCAGGAGAAAUAAAGGUCUCUCUCUCUCUCUCUCUCUAUCUCACACACACACACACACACACACACACACACACAGAGAGAGAGAGAGAGAGAGAGAGAGAGAGAGAGAGAGAGAGGCCAGCAUUCAAAAUUCCCAUGCUUAGGGAAUCCAUUGGGACUUCUCCCCAGGAUGUACUGAAUUCAAGGAAGCUUUCUCUAGGUGUAGCAGAAACUGCUGCUGUCAUGUCUCUGCUCACCAGGACGUAGCUUCUCUCUACAGACCUUUAUUUCUUUCCCUGGAGGCUUCAGUCCAUGUUGAAGUGUAAACUCCACUCAGCUCCAGGAGGAAUCGUGUUUUCUUUAUCACCAGGGGCUUCUUCUACGAGUUGCCUUUGAUAGGGAGGCCAGGAGGAAGAUAGGCCCAAGCUCAGGGGUGGGAUCGGGGAGCAGGAAGCCUGUGGGCUUUAGAAUCGAGGUAUUGGUUUCUCCCUGUCACCAUCAUCCACCACCUGUGUGAACUUGAGCCAUUUAUCGAACCUCACGGAGCCCCAAGUUUCUCAUCUGUAAACAAGGGGAAUGAGCCCUACUUUGUAUGGUUGUCAAGAGGAUUUGAGACAAUAUGUAUAAAGCAAUGGACACGCAGAGGAAGUCAAUAAGUACAAGGUAACUCUGAAAAUGCCACCAAAGGGAGGCUAGGGACAGGAAAGCCAUCUCCGCCAACCUCAAGAACGUGGCCCCGAAGCUGUUCCAGGAACUGGGCAUGUAUGAAGAUAAAAAAAAAAAAA
rnacentral:lncRNA from 1 species